rnacentral:lncRNA from 1 species
CUGUCACCUGCAGGAAAGCCUGAGCAGAUAAAGAUGGCUUCUGCACCUGGAGGAAAUGGGAAUUUCCAGCGAGACAGGAAGAAAAUGAUUCAAGUGGGUGAAAUUGUGAAUUUCUUGGAAGAGAGACUUUGUCUUUAUUGUUUGUAAAUCAGCUUAUUAUUGGGAACAUAACAUACCAGUCAGCCCAAAAAUGUGCUGUUUUUUCUUAAACUACUGAUGAAGAAGUGGUAAAAACAGGGGCUUCUUUAUAGUCAGGUAAGUCUAGGUGGAUCCCCUGUUUUUAGAGGCACCUUUGCGCUCCUGUCUGCUUCACCCACAAAACGUAACUUUGACUUAAAUUGAACAGGGCUGUGCAUACGAAUAACUCUAUCCAGUGUAAUUGGAUGCACUAGAGCGUGCUUUCUAAAAUUAGAAUGCUGGGGUAGAGAUCUUGCUUCAACCUAAUAAUGCCUGAAUGAAUUUGGCAAACAGAAGUAACUUUCUAUGCCUGAAUUUGCUAUCUUUGAAAUGGGAAUGAUAAUAAUAGUAGAAAACCUGCACAAUUGUUGUGAAAUUAAAAUGAGUCUAUUAAAAAAAAACAAAGUGCCUGCUACAUAGUGCUCAAGUAUUACUAAUAUUAUUAUUACUGCUAUCUUUAUUUAUAAUCUCCCUGGUAUAAAGGACUCAUUACUCAAAAUAGAAUAUAUAUUCUAUUUUGCUUAUUCUCCGUCAAAAAUAAUAUCUAUGUUCUAUAUGCAAGGUUAUAAUAUGAGCACAGGAUAGAAUAAAGUGUACGAAGUAUUUUUUUGAUAGGUUCACUAUUGUGCCAUCAGUCAUUUUUGCCCAAAAGAAGCAGAAGAUAAG